AUUGAACGCUAGCGGGAGGCUUUACACAUGCAAGUCGAACGAGUGGCGGACGGGUUAGUAAUAUAUCGGAACGUGCCCAGUAGAGGGGGAUACCUACUCGAAACAGUGGCUAAUACCGCAUACUUUCGGAGCGGCCGAUAUCGGAUUAGCUAGUGGGUGGGGUAAAGGCUCACCAAGGCAAGGAUCCGUAGUUGGUUUGAGAGGACGACCAGCCACACGGUGAAUGAGACACGGCCCAGGAUCCUACGGGAGGCAGCAGUGGGGAAUAUUGGACGAUGGGCGAAACCCUGAUCCAGCCAUGCCGCGUGUAUGAGAAGGCCUUCGGGUUGUAAAGUACUUUUAGCGGGGAAGCGGUAUCUGCAGAAUAAGCACCGGCUAACUACGUGCCAGCAGCCGCGGUAAUUC
rnacentral:rRNA from 1 species